UAGAAAUUCCUUUGCAAAACACUAAAAACCAGCCACUCUACCUCCCCCUCUCCUACCGGCUCCUCCCCUCCCCCCGCCACGCGUUGGACACUGGGCCGGGCUGGGCGGCGGGUCAGGCGACCGGUCAGCUGACCUGCCCCCGGGCGAUAACCACGUGACUGGCGUCCGCCCGCAGCCGCCCGCCUGAGCCACGGAGAGGGCAGUCGCUGUCUGUUACCGGUUGGAGCCAUAUGUGUUCACGACUGAUUUUUGCCUGAAUUCACCUAUUACAAAUAUACUCAUCAAGAGAUACCUACCUACGAGAACAUCGAGAGAUCCUACGCGGUUCGUCCCGGCAAACCUACGCGGGGAAGUACCAGUGAGACCGACCAAAUCACAGGACCGACGACUUCGAGACAAGACCUACGUCAAGGAUAGCUUGAGCGUGCUGGGCUGCUAAAUGCGGCGAGGAGGAUUUCCACGGCCUCCACAGCGUGCUGUCCAUUCUCGGCUACCUCCUCAAAGCGCCAGCUGUGCCCCCCGGCGCCCCCGUUAUAAACGCUCUCUCCAAGCAGCGUGCUGCCAUCGAGAACAUUCUACGCGCGUGCGUAGGUCUACAGCCAGUUAGUGACAUAGGCUUGGAGUUUAAACUCCCUGAGAGUUAUCGUGAAGCGUGGCGAAAGCGUGGAGUGGCCACGGAGGUGGCGGGUGGUCACGUGACCGGCGACCGAGUCGUGAAGCAAAUGACGUCAGAAGGGGUGCAGAAUGGUACUGGAAAUGUUCAGGGCAUGAAUGGACGUGGCUAGAUGGAGGAGUGUAGAUUUGUCACGUGACCAGAACGUGACUGAGCGAGAAAUGAACCGAGGCAGUGCUGAUUGGGCACGUGACCGCCGAGAAAAGCCUUAGGGGCUGCGCCGGUGUUAUGGUGAGACUAGUGCUAGGUUCCACUAUAGGCUAAUAGGUGGCGCUGAUGUAGUUACAGGUGUCGCUAGGGAUGUGUAAUUGUACUGAGAAUAUCGGUUUACCUGCGGACCACCCUGUAUGAUAAACAACAUCGAAUACACAUAAAAC